GCCAUCUUGCCUGUUUUCAUAAAAGUCUGAAAUACGGAGGAGACCCUGAUUUAUAUUUUCCAUAGAAGAGAAGAGAGAUUGAGAUGGUUCUAUGGAACCCUGGAAUGAAGAGGAUGCCAACCUUGAAAAGCUAUUCUAGUUCUUUCAAUGUGCCAUAAUGGUAUAGGAGCAAAUGUUUCUGCUGAGGUGAGGACACCAUGUUCCUCUACUGUUGUGGAUGCAGCCCUCACCAGACGACCGAACCUGCCAGUGCCUUGUUCUUGGACUUCCUAGCCUUCAGAACUGCCAGAAUCCUGCUAGGACAUCUCUGCCUGUGGAAGGAGGGCUGGAUGGCAUACUGGGAAUGGCUUUCUAGGAUGACUUCCUGUUGCUACAGACUACAAGAAGCAUUUCUGGCCUUGAUGUUGUCUGAAUGAAGAAGACAUAGGAGUUUCACCAAAGUAAUGAAAGCUGGCUGAGCAAAAACCCAGAGCAUAAUUUCUCACUGGCUGGCUGCUCCAGAUAGUAAUAGCUUCAGUGCCCUUCAGAGUGGAAUUUUCCUGAGCCUGUGAAGAUGUGUGAGGUGUACCCAGCAGGGCAUGAGAGCCACCACCGAGGAAGAAAAGAGAAAACUGCCUCUUCAUUCAUGCGUUUAUCUGGAAAGGGUGACCACUGCCAAUUCCGUCGUGUGACAGGAUCUAGUGUCUCUGCACAGCAUAAACAGAAACAGUCAAGGGGGAGAGGUGGAAUACAACCCGAGGCCGCAGGGUGGUAUGGUGUGGUUGUCACCGAAGUGCAGGCAUCCUUAACCAAAGGACAGGCCACACUGGUGGGCUGGAGAGGACUGCAGGCAGGGUGGAUUUAAAAUUAUGUUUUAAAUUACAUCCUCUUUUCAAUUCUUUUAAUCCUCAGAAGAAUCAAGGCAAGCCUCAGUUAAUCAGUAGCAUGGUUCAUGGUUUUAAUGGUUCUCUGGUAUUUGCCAAUCUUCCUUUUUUUUUUUUUUUUUUUUUUUGAGAUGGAGUCUUGCUCUGUCACCCAGGCUGGAGCGCAGUGGUGCAAUAUCGGCUCACUGCAACCUUGGCCUCCAAGGUUCAAACGAUUCUCCUGCCUCAUCCUCCAGAGUAUCUAGGACUACAGGUGCAUGCCACCAUGCCUGGCUAAUUUUUGUAUUUUUAGUAGAGAUGGGGGUUUCACCAUGUUGGCCAGGCUGGUCUUGAACUCCUGACCUCAAGUGAUCCACCCGCCUCGGCCUCCCAACAAUCUUCCCUUUUGACAAAGAAGCAGCAGGAUCCCCAGGCUUAGAGCCCCAGGUGGCUAACAUUAUCUAGUUAGAAUUUAGUAAUAGGACAUCCCCUGCCUUGUCUAAAUCCAUCUGGCCCUUCCCCUCUGGGGGGUUCAGAUAGGGAGGAUUGGGACCUUCUAUAAAUUUGCUUCUUGAAUAAACUUGACUGAAAACGUUAGUUUUAAGAGAAGGUUAAUAAUAGCACAGAUGGAAAGGGGAGGCAGAAGGAAAAUGGAUCUGUGACAGGCUGUACAAAUAAAUGACCCUCAGGAAACACUGGUGGGGUCUCUCCAGAAUCUGGACUAGAAGUCGGAAACCCCGGUCAAGGUUCCCAGUGCUGGUGGGCUCCUCCUGUCUCUAGACUAUCACAAUAACUGUUGGGGUCUCCACCUAACAAUCUUUAAAUUUCUUUUCAGGUCUGAAAUACUACAUUUCCAUGACAAUAUUUCUAAAAUACAACCCCUUCCCGGAAGACUGAUCAUAUCUGGUUAUUGACAAG
rnacentral:lncRNA from 10 species